CCUUAGCUAUCAGAGGGAGAGCACACAAAGAGCAGAAGAUGAGGAAGAGGACAAGAUGACACAGGAGAGGUGACUGAUGCCCGGUAAGAAGGUGAACAUGACAUAUACACCCGUCAGCAGCAAGAAAGGAACCACGAGACAGGUGACUGAUACCCGGUGAGAAGAUGAACGUGACAUAUACCCGCGUCAGCUGCAAAAAAGAAAUCACGGGACAGGUGACUGAUGCUUGGUGAAAAGGUGAACUUGACAUAUACCCGCGUCAGCUGCAAAAAAGGAACCAUGAGACAGGU